rnacentral:rRNA from 1 species
GACGUAGGGCGCGAGCGUUGUCCGGAUUUAUUGGGCGUAAAGAGCUCGUAGGCGGCUUGUCGCGUCGUUCGUGAAAACCUGCAGCUCAACUGCAGGCUUGCGGUCGAUACGGGCAGGCUGGAGUUCGGUAAGGGAGACUGGAAGUUCCUGGUGGUAGCGGUGAAAUGCGCAGAUAUCAGGAGGAACACCGGUGGCGAAGGCGGGUCUCUGGGCCGAUACUGGCGCUGGAGGAGCGAAAGCGUGGGGAGCGAAC